rnacentral:rRNA from 1 species
GAUGAACGCUAGCUACAGGCUUAACACAUGCAAGUCGAGGGGCAGCAUUUUAGUUUGCUUGCAAACUGAAGAUGGCGACCGGCGCACGGGUGAGUAACACGUAUCCAACCUGCCGAUAACUCCGGAAUAGCCUUUCGAAAGAAAGAUUAAUACCGGAUAGCAUACGAAUAUCGCAUGAUAUUUUUAUUAAAGAAUUUCGGUUAUCGAUGGGGAUGCGUUCCAUUAGUUUGUUGGCGGGGUAACGGCCCACCAAGACUACGAUGGAUAGGGGUUCUGAGAGGAAGGUCCCCCACAUUGGAACUGAGACACGGUCCAAACUCCUACGGGAGGCAGCAGUGAGGAAUAUUGGUCAAUGGGCGAGAGCCCGAACCAGCCAAGUAGCGUGAAGGAUGAAGGCUCUAUGGGUCGUAAACUUCUUUUAUAUGGGAAUAAAGUUUUCCACGUGUGGAAUUUUGUAUGUACCAUAUGAAUAAGGAUCGGCUAACUCCGUGCCAGCAGCCGCGGUAAUACGGAGGAUCCGAGCGUUAUCCGGAUUUAUUGGGUUUAAAGGGAGCGUAGGUGGAUUGUUAAGUCAGUUGUGAAAGUUUGCGGCUCAACCGUAAAAUUGCAGUUGAAACUGGCAGUCUUGAGUACAGUAGAGGUGGGCGGAAUUCGUGGUGUAGCGGUGAAAUGCUUAGAUAUCACGAAGAACUCCGAUUGCGAAGGCAGCUCACUAGACUGUCACUGACACUGAUGCUCGAAAGUGUGGGUAUCAAACAGGAUUAGAUACCCUGGUAGUCCACACAGUAAACGAUGAAUACUCGCUGUUUGCGAUAUACAGUAAGCGGCCAAGCGAAAGCAUUAAGUAUUCCACCUGGGGAGUACGCCGGCAACGGUGAAACUCAAAGGAAUUGACGGGGGCCCGCACAAGCGGAGGAACAUGUGGUUUAAUUCGAUGAUACGCGAGGAACCUUACCCGGGCUUAAAUUGCAACAGAAUAUAUUGGAAACAGUAUAGCCGUAAGGCUGUUGUGAAGGUGCUGCAUGGUUGUCGUCAGCUCGUGCCGUGAGGUGUCGGCUUAAGUGCCAUAACGAGCGCAACCCUUAUCUUUAGUUACUAACAGGUUAUGCUGAGGACUCUAGAGAGACUGCCGUCGUAAGAUGUGAGGAAGGUGGGGAUGACGUCAAAUCAGCACGGCCCUUACGUCCGGGGCUACACACGUGUUACAAUGGGGGGUACAGAAGGCGGCUACCUGGUGACAGGAUGCUAAUCCCAAAAACCUCUCUCAGUUCGGAUCGAAGUCUGCAACCCGACUUCGUGAAGCUGGAUUCGCUAGUAAUCGCGCAUCAGCCAUGGCGCGGUGAAUACGUUCCCGGGCCUUGUACACACCGCCCGUCAAGCCAUGAAAGCCGGGGGUACCUGAAGUACGUAACCGCAAGGAGCGUCCUAGGGUAAAACUGGUAAUUGGGGCUAAGUCAUAACAA